rnacentral:lncRNA from 1 species
UAAUAGAUACAAAAGAGUACAAUGAUAGUGCCAAUAACAAGGCUCUGGCUAUACCUCAAAACAUAAUGCACAUACAACAAAAGAUGCAUAACCCCGAAAUGAAGUGGGGCUCACCAAGCCAACCAGGAAGAGAGUGUACCGCUAUCACUAGUCAAUGCCCUCCGCUAUGGAACUACCUGCAUCCAUUAAAGAUACAGCGCCCCCGGAAAUAUGGAUGUUAGUACAUGUCGAAUAGCACUAGUAUGAAAACCAAACACUUAUGCAAGGACUUGGAAAUACAACAUGAAUAUGAUGAAUCAUGGUAGCAAUAAAAGGCUUAGUUAUCCAUUAAAGCCAUAAAAAUGUAUUAAGAGCUUUCAAUAAUAUUUAUAAAUUCUUAAGUCGGGGAUCCUCUACAACUACCUUUAUACAAAGCAGCCCUGUCGCCUCACCCUAAUGUAUGCAGGUGGAGGUACAAUCACAAUACCAGAAACUCUACACAAAGCGGCCCUGCCGCCUCACCCCAAUGUAUGCGGGUGGAGGUGUAUUCACAAUACCACAAACUCUACACAAAGCGGCUCUGCCACCUUACCCCAAUGUAUGUGGGUGGAGGUAUAUUCAUAAGACCACAACUUUACACAAAGCGGCCAUGUCGCCUCACCCCAAUGUAUGCGGGUGGAUGUGUAUUCACAAUGCCAUACUUCGAAUUCCCAAAAUGAUAAUAGUUGGUACAAAAGAGUUCCUUUUUCAAAUCAACCAUUUGGCACCUUUGGCCUUAGCAAGAGUAGGUUCAUAAGGUUUCAUUAUAUGAGAAAUAAUUGUUUAAUCACAUUGAUUUCAUAUAAGAUCUUCUUCCCUAAGGGGGUAUAACAUAAUUAAGCCAAAAAUAGAGAAUCGUUAACACACGAGGGUUCUGACACGUUAUGCCAAUCAAAAAUCAAUUCUACUAGUUUGAAUACCCCACAUCAAUAGCGUUCCAUAUUCGAACAUCACACGAUGGAUUUUUGUAAGAACACGAGAAUUCCAAUACCAGAAAAAUAGUUUAGCACUCAUACCUCGCUUUGAGCUUUCCUUAAUUCACUACACAGUUUCGAAAAUCCUAGCAACUUUGAUCUAUUUAGAGACAUAGCAAAAUUGAACACAAAUUAGGAAUAUAUUCAUGGUUUUAUCUCAUUUGAGCAUUUUAUCAAAUACUAGGUGUGCGAAUUUGAUUACAAGGUUCUCCCACAAGAUUUCCUUCACUCCACAACCAAUUCAAUACCAAGAGUUUACUCAUACUAGUUCAAUUACCUCCCCACCAUCCUCAUAGCUACAUGCAUGCAUAAAUAACAACUCUCAUACUCAAGAAUUAUACUCCCAAUUACCCAUCUUCUACCUAAAUUCAAAAUUGAAGACUGGGGUUAGAACCUUACCUCUUGGAUGAAAAUCUUGUGAGAUUUCUUGUUGAAUAUCAAAGCUUGGACAAGAUGUUGAUGAACAAAGCACUUGGGAUUACUUCUCUCUCUAUAGAACACUCCCAUCUUCUCUCUAAAAUGACAGGUUUUUGCCUUCAAAACGAGCCCCAAGGGCUUUUAAUCAAAAUAGGGUCGGGUAAAAAAAUUAGAAAAAUAAAGCCCCGACACAGAUCUGCGGUCGUAUAUGCGGCCGCAUAACGCUUCUGUGGUCUGCAAAAUGGAUUGUAUAAUGUACCUCCAGAAUUGGGCACUUCUGCCUCACUCUACGACCAGUCUGCGGUCCGCAGACCAAUUCUGCGGUCGCAUAAUGUGCCGUAGAACUUCCCUCCAGAAAUUUUCAUGCUGGAUCUGUGAUGGGUUAUGCAGCUCGUGAAAUGAUUAUGCGGCCGCAUACUAGACCGCAUAAUGGUCCGAAAAUUUGCCCAGAUUUCUACUUCAGUCUGCGGCAGAUCUGCGGUCCGCAGAUCGGUUCCGCGCUGCCCUACCUCAGCAUCACGAAACCCUAGGUUUUGGGUGAAAUAUUUUUUGGGGCCUUACACUACUCUCCUUAGACCCAGCUCGUGAGAUUAAACUAGGUUUGUUAUUGUUAUUUUUUUAAUUCUAAUAUUGUAGUCAUGCAAACUAUCAUGAGUAGCUAAUCCUAUUAUUUAGAAUUUUGAUGGUACAUUUUGAAGAAUGAAUAUCUUGUUACUUUUUACUAUAAUCAAACUUCAUACUUGUUCAAUUAUAUGAUUAAUUUAGUUGAUUGAAUGAUCCUCGAUUGACUGUGCCUAUUUAUUAUGUGUUGCUUGAAAAAGAACAUAUUAGAUAUUUUGUAAUAACACAACCGGUUAUUUUGAGCUUUAACAUUUCGUUCGGCGGUUUGAGAUCUUGAGUAGUUGUAUGAUGUAUUAUGUCUUGCAUAUAUGGUUGGUUUGGAUGUUCCAGAGGUUAGGGAUUGAUUUGGAAGAGUGAUUCUCAAUUUGGAAGCCUUAAGUUGGAAGAGUUUACCAAGGCUUAAAUUUUAGAUAAACGACCUCGAAAUCGGGAUUAGAUGGUUUUCGUAUGGUAAUUUUGGACUUGGGCAUAUGUUUGAAUUUAAAUUUGGAUGUUCCUAGAAGGUUUUAGCUCUAUUUAUCAAAAGUUGGCCAUUUGAAAAGUUAAAAUAUACGUAUUGUGGUUUUGAGACCUUGUAUAGGUUUAUUUAGUUGAUUGGAACUUGUGCGCAAAAUUGGAUGUGAUCUGAAAUGUCUAAGUGUGACACGGAUGAGUUUGGCGAAGUUGGAAUAUCUGAAAGUUAAGAGAAUGAUAUUGAUCUUCGAUUCGUGGUUUUGAUGUUAUUUGCGGUGUUUCAAACCUUUGGAUAAGUUUGAAUAUUGUAUUUGGAUUUGUUGGCAUGAUUCGAUGGGGUCCCGAGGGGCUGGGGCAUGUUUUGAGGUGGUUCACCUCCGCGUUGCUUUGAGCAGACUGGUUUACACGUUCGGGUGUCUUUGGUCGUGUUCACAUAGAGGGAGAGAGUAGUUGUUGUUUGUUCAUCGGGUUCUCGGUUGAUCAGAUGCGUCUGUGAUGUUGUGGGAGCAGCAGACCUUCGCGAUCGCUUGGUCUUUUAUGCGAUCGCGUAGAGUAUUUUCUAGGGCAGCAACAUUUUUGAUUCAUGAACGCAGCGCUUUUGCCGCGUCGCGAAGGGUACUUUCGAAAAAAAUAUUUAAGUUUCUAUUUUUGGGGCUUUUACCUAUUCUUUUAUAUUUUGAGCCCUAGAGAGGGGCGAUUUUUCAUGGAGAAUUUCAUACAAGGCACGAGGGUAUGUGAUUUUUAUCUAUUUGUGAUUAUAUUUUAAGAAUCUACAUCGAUUUCUGCAUCUAAAACAUGGAAUUUUAAAAGGAAAUUUGAUAUUUUUGUCUACACAUUAAGAGAGUAUAUUUUAGGGAGUUUUACCAUUAAUGUUGACCCAGAUAUGGAAACUAAUUAGAAAUUUAGACUCGCAGGUUCUGAGUCAUCAGAUUUUGAUAUUGGUUUCGGAUUUUGGGCACGCGCGCCUGGGUUUACUUUUGUUGAAUUUUAGGAAUUCAUCAAAAUCGAAACUUUAUGGUUUGGGAUCGCUUCCUAUAGCACUGUUUGACUUCCUUGGAUGAUGUUGGGCUUGGAUUUGCGUGAUUGGAGGGCUAGAACGAGGUUUUGAUGCAAUUUGAGGUUGAAGCUAGCCCGGAAAAAAAGUGUCUCUUGCCUAACCUUGUUAAGAGAGAAACACCUAGCAUUUAACUUGAUUGCUAUGUGUUUAAGGUAUUUGGGGUAGUGUAUAUACGAGGUGGAGAGCGUGUAUGCACAUACCAUGUUUAUAUCAUGUCUGGGACGAAUUGAGAUACUUUAUGCCUUGUUUGAUUAUGUGUUCAUCUUGAUUCAUGAUUUAUUUGGCCUAUAUGACCACCUUCGCUCUCUUAUUCAUGAAGGCAUGUGAGCUUAUUCUUGAUAUAUUGAAUUGCUUGAAUUAUCCGUAGUCAUAUAGAAAUUCCAUGAGCACAUAUCCGCAUGAUUAUUUUUAAGUCCUUGCGCAUUUUUUUAUCUAUUAAUUCUUGGGCAUAUGCAUACGUAUUGUAUUUGGACACUUGAUUUGGACUGAGAAUGUGGCACAAAAGGCAAGGUCAUGUGGUUAAAAUACAGUUAUGGCACAGGACAUGAUAAGCAGAUAUUUAAUAUAAGUGUGCUAUCAAGCUCCUUUUGCGCUUCGAUAAGGAUCCAUCCCUUUGGAGUCAGGUUAUUACCUAUGUUACUUCGGGCCUUGUGAGCGUGGUCGAUACAUGGACUAUGUAUUGAAUCGAUACGUGGAUUUUCUAUCAGUUUUUAGUGUUACAUAGAUUUUAUAUCGGGAUACAUGGAUCUUGUACCAGUCAUGGUAAAAUAUAGAGUCUUGAGCAUGUAUUGACAUCCUUGAUUCAUUUUGAAGCAUUCAUUUAAAUGCUAACUGUAGCAUGUCACCUAUAUAUGCUAGUUGGGAGCCUAGAGUCCAUUGAUUGAAACAUGCCAUCUUUAAAUAUCAUAUUUGAGCGGCGUUAUGAUUAUCUUUGAAUUGGAGAAAUCAUGCUUAUUACCUUUCGACUGUUGAUAUCUUUGAUACUUCUUAAUCAUGAGACUAAUUAUUGUUUCAGUUCUAAGCUCUGUUAUUUAUAUAUUUGUUGUAAGUAUCAUGAUGCUUAUAGCCUCGCCACUACUUGUUCAAGGUUAGACUUGACACUUACUGGGUAUUGACUGUGGUAUACUCAUACGAUGCUUCUGCAUAUCUUUUUGUGCAGAUCCUCAGGUGGGUACUAACGUAGCCUAUUGUUGAGCCUAGGUGUUUGCUCAAAGACUUGGGGUGAACUGUACCUCAUGGAUUCGUUUUGCCGUGCCCGAGUCCCUCUCCUUAUUUAUCUCCUGUAUAUUUUCUUUCUCUCAAGCAAUUUCGGUUAUGUAUUUAGACUUGUACUUAUUCAAUAGUUGCUCAUGUACUUGUGUUACCUAGUUCUUGGGGAUAGUACUGUUUUGGUCGUGUUCGGACCAUGUUAUGAUUGUAUCACAUAUUAUACUAUUUUGAAAUCAUUCCUAUCUUAAGUUAUGAUAUGACUCUUUAAUUAAAGGAAUAUGGACUAUAUUCAACAGGAGAAAUUCGAAAGUGAGAUCGAGAUGAGUGAUAACCUGAACAAUAAUGACCCGAACAAUCAGAACAACCGGGUUGUGGAACCUCUUGUGCCAGAAGCUGCUCUUUAUAUCUGGGCACAACUCACUGCUGACAAUCUGGCAACCGUAUUACAGUCCCUCAGAUAUAAGUGGAGAACUUUCAAAUUACAAACAACAUGAUGCAUUUGCUGCAAAACAUGAGACUGUUUUCUAGGUAUUACAUUGAAGAUCCACUACAGUGUUUAAAAAGUUUUCUAUCAAUUUGUGUCACUUAGAGGCAGCAAAAUGUGACACUGGAAGCAAUUUGUCUGCCAUUAUUUCCAUCUUUGGUGACUGGAGAAGCAUAGACUUAUCUAAAUUCAUUCCCCAUCAACUCCAUACCUACUUGGGAAGAAUUGGUCAAGUAGUUUUUGAACAAGUUCUAUCCACCCAAUAAGACUACAAAGUAAAUUGAUGAGAUAUUGCAGUUCAGGAAGAAACCAACUAAGACUUUGCUAGAAACUUUGGAAAGGUUCUAGGGAAUAUUAGUAAAGUAUUUACACCAUGGUAUUCCAGAUCAGAUAUUAGGAUAGAAAUUCUAUAUGGGGUGUCUGAUAGUCUGAAGGCUAAUGUUAAUGAUUCAGCAGGUGGAACAUUCUUGACAAAAUAAUUCACAAAGUGCAAGAAUCUUCGUGAGAAAAUAGCUCAAAAUUCAAGAUGGAUGAUGAGAGAUACCAUACUCACGCCUUUGUCCACUCAGUGGUCUUGAUCUAAAUAAUUCGAUAGUUGAGAAUACAACGACUUUGAUGACUCAGGUGAGCAUUUUUACCAAAAAGAUUGAAAAAUCAGACUAAAUACUAAUGGUAGGCUAUAUUUGCAUAUUUUAGUCGCUUAUUGCACUCAAAUUUACUACACUUUAUUUGUGUUGAGCUUUAAUUGGUAGUGAUUUGCAUUUAUUGUGUGUUUUAUGCCUUGUAGGGGUGAUUUCGAGUUAUGUAGAUGUAGUAGAGCUAAUUCGAGUUAUUGGAAGCUUUGAAGUCUGAUAAAAAGCCCAAGUAAAUAAGACGGGAUCGAGUACCGCGUAUGUAUAUAAAAAGUGAAAGAAAAAUGCUCAAGGCCAUGUAAAUGGCCUAUCACGGCUUGUUUGAAUACAUGCACCAUGAAGUGGCUAGCCAAAAGUCUCAUAAGAUGUUAAGGAAUUGAAUCCUCCAAAUUGAGACAUGCAAGUGACGUGUUCACAUGAAGUGUCUGUCCAAUUCAUCAUUACACAAGACAAAAUAGUAGAAUAAUUGAAAUUUGCCAAUUCUCUGGAAAACAUCACUAAAGCGACGCACUGUGCGACGCCCACCGCACCGCAGCAGUGUAAUUUUGGCUGCCUGACAGAUGUUGAGCUCUCUGGAUUUCUCCACUAAUUCCCCGCAUGGUGCGUCGCCCCAUGCGGCACGCCUAUGUAUUUUUUACAGAGUUAUUAUCCUAUUUCGACUAGGAAAAGGAGGUUUUGUCUGGGCCCGACCCUACUUGGUAUAAAUAUAUGGGAAAACGUUAUUUUCUGGACUUUUGACACAUAUUUGACCUAAGGAGUCCAAGGAGGAGUUGGAAGAACACAAGCACAAGGAUUUCAUCAUUCCUUUCUCACUCAAGACCCGAGUUUGGAUUGAAUUUAUGUUUUCCUAUACUUUAUUUUUAAUUGUGAUGAAUUGCUCCAUAUCUAUGGAGUAGUUCUCUUUAGAGUUUGAUGAAUUUGGAGUAUUGAUGAUUAUUGGUGGAUUAUAACUCUAGUUUUAUGUAUUGAAGCUUUCUUUGGAUGAUUUAAUUAUUACAUCUAUAUUCACUUGUUCAUGUAAUCGAGAGAGGCAUAACUUGUGAUAUAUUUGCAUUAUAUUGUUGGUUGAGUUCAUUAAUUCAUCUUAGUAAUCGAAAGGGGCUAGUUGAAUUAUUGAUUAAACCUAGUUAGGAGAAUAAUCGAAAGAAGUUUUCCUAAAGACCAAUCCACUACGCAUUCUUGCAUAUCUUCAUAUGCUUAAAUUAGUUCAUCUCGUGAGGUUAAGACUUAAUCGAUAGAGGAGUUUUUGCUGAAUGUUUGAACUAAUAAUUGAGUGAAUUCAAGAGACUCACUUGAACAUUAAAAGUGAAUUAUCUAGAAUUAGAUCCCGAAUAAUUAUCUUGCACCUAUCCCAUCAAAACCCUAUCUUCUCCCAUUGAUAACUUUCUUUGCUCAUUCCUUGUUUCGAUUAUCAUUAGUCAAUAACUUUAGAUUCUUAGUAAAUUUUAGUUAUUAAUCACAUAAAUCCCAACUGUUGAUUCUCCUAGAUAGUAACCAAGCUAGAAACUACGAGAAUACUGUUUAAAUCCAAUCCCUGUGAAUAUGAUAUUAUACUAUACUAUAUUUGCUUAGCAAGUAGAAUUUAAGUGUGUGUUCUGAGCUCGUCAAAAACAAGUUCAUAUAGUUGAUACUACAAAUGGAGGGUUAUGCAUACCUUGUAUUAUUGUAAUGACCCAACCGGUUGUUUUGAGUUCUAAAGCCACGUUCCCUAAUUUGAUGCUUCCCGUAGGUUGCUUUGAUAUUUUAUGACUUGUAGGGAUAAAUAGUUUGGUUCACUAGGGGUUCAGGAGUAUUUUGGAACGCUUAGUUCCUAGUUUGACAUUUGAAGUUGGAGGAGUUGACCAAAGUUUAACUUUUGGGUAAACGACACCCGAUUGAUAUUUUGAAGGUUCUAAUAGGUUCAUAUGGUGAUUUUGGACUUGUACUUAUGUUUUGUUCGGGCCUCUGGUGGCCUGGGGUUGUUUCGAUACUUUAGUCAAAAGUUGAAAUUUUGAACAUAAGAAAGUUUGAAGUUUUUGGUUUGAUAUGCAACUCUUGGUUUUGAUGUUGUUCUUAGUAUUUUGAGCCUUUGGAUAAAUUUGAAUAAGGUAUAUUGACUUGCUAGGAUGAUUGCAUGGGGUCCUCAGGGGCUUGGAUGCAUUUUGGGGUGGUUUCAAACUAUUGGAGCUAAGAUGAGAUUGCUGAUUUCUAGUGUCGGUGUUGUUCUUCCCGAUUGUGUGGUGUGGCGUAUGUCGUGAUCAUAUAAAAGGAUGGUGGCAGGUGAAGUUUUAUUCUUCGUGAUUGUGUGAAGGAGGUUCGCGAUCGCAAGGUGUUGUCUGUAUGUGCUACGCGUUUGCAUAAGGUAGGAUGCGAUCACAGUUUAAGAGUCAGGGGCUUGUGCUUCGCGAUCACGAGGAAGGGUCCGCGAUCGCGUAGGUGUGGUAGGUGGAGCUUCACGUGUGAGUGUGGUCGCGAUCUCUUAAGAGGGAAUUCAGGUGGUGGAGCUCAGUUCCUCAUGAUUGAGUGAGUAGGCAUCGCGAUUGCGAUGUGUAGUACUGGUAGGGGUAUUUGAUGUCUAAAUUUUGGGAUUUAGCUUGUUUUUACCAUUUUGAGUUUUGGAGAACGAGAGAAGGAUAUGUUGGAAGAGGGAUUUCACUACAAUCUUGAGGGUAAGUAAUUUCUACUUAGUUUUGAUAAUAUAUUUUAAUUUUUCAUGAAUUUCUCCACCUAAAAUCUUUAAUAUUAAAGUGAAAGUUGGGGUUCUUGUCUACAACUUAAGAGAGUAUAAUUUGAGGUUUUGAAUAUUGAUUUGGACUUGGAUUUAGAAACUAAUCACAUAUUUAGACUUGUGAAAUUAUGGAUCAACGGGAUCCAGUCCUAGACUCCGGUCUUGACCAUGUGGGCCAGAGUUGAAUUUUUGAUAAUUGAUUAAAGAUUGGAGCUUUAUUAUUUGGAAUUGGUUUUUGUGAUUGUUUGGCCUUAUUGAGUAUUAUUUGGCUAAAUUUGAGGAUAUUUCUAAAGGAAAAAUGAUUGCAGAAGGUUGAGGCGGUACCAGAAAGAGGUACAUCUCUUGGCUAACCUUGUCAAGAGAGAAUUCACUUAAAACGGACUUGAUUGUCAUAUAUUACUUGAGUAGGGGGUAUUACAUAUGCAAGGUGACGAGCGUAUAUAUGGGGACCAAGGUUAUACCAUAUUUAGAGUAGUUUUAGGUUUCUUUAUGCCUUGUUUGAUUAUGUAUUCUUCUAAUAUAUGCUUUAUUUCAUUGUAUGACUACGCGAGCCUUGAUAUUUUGAGCUAUGUGAUUUAGACAUAAUCAUACCUUACUCUCAUAAUUACAUACAUCCGCAUAUUUAUUUCUUAUAACCUUGUGGACUAGACGUAUAUGCAUAUGUCUCUAAAUUUGGAUUCAGUAAUAUGAGCGGAGUUAUUGACAAGAUGGUACAUUCUGUAGGGUUAAGGUGAUUAUGGUACUGUGAGAUACUUUGGUACAUUGAGAUAUAUGAGUACAUUGAUGAUUCUGAUUAUUGAGCUAUUAUGAUAUCGAGACUUAGAUAUGUAUCCGUCCCUUUGGAGUCAGGUGAUCACCCAUGUUACUUUGGGCCUUGUGAGUGUCAGACAUAUGAAUUGUUUUUGUGAGGCACAUUGUAACGACCCGGCCGGUCAUUUUGUGUAUCGUAGCCCCGUUACCCUAUGUAUUACUUAUUAUAUGUUCACUUGUGGUUACAUGACUUGUUGGGGUGGUUGGUUUGGUUCUGGGAUAAUUCAGAAUAAAUUAGGAUACUUAGUCCCAAGGUUGGAAGUUUAAGUUGAAAGAGUUGACCAGAUAUUGAAUUUUCUGUAAAAGACUCCAGAAUGGAGUUUUUUUUGUUCCUAUAGCUUCGUAUGGUGAUUUUGGACUUAGGCAUAUGUAAGAAUUUGGAUUUGGAGGUCCGCAAGUUGAUUUGGUGCAUUUUGGCGAAAAUUGAAAAGUUAAAGGUUUGGAAGGAUGAGAAGUUUGACCGAGAGUUGAUUUUGUGGUUAUCGGGCUUAGAUUUUGGUUCUGGAAGUUGGAACAUGUCUGUUGUGUCAUUUAUGAUUUGUGUACAGAAUUUAAGGUCAAUCGGAGUUGGUUUGAUAUGAUCUGACAUUAGUUUUAGAAGUUGGAAGUUUGUUUGUUCAUUAAGUUUGAAUCGAUAUGCGAUUUGUGGUUUUGGUGUUAUUUGAUGUGAUUUGAGGUUUCGAGCGAGUUCGUAUUGUGUUUUAGGACUUGUUGGUAUGUUUUGAUGGGGACCCGGGGGCCUGGGGGCUGAUUCAGUUCGAAUCGGAUUGUGAAUUUGACUUAUUGAAAUGUUGUUGGCAUCAGUUUUGUUGUAACCGCACCUGCGAGGUUUUGGCCGCAGGUGCGGAGCCGCAGAAGCGGCCACGUGCGAACAGAUGCGAAGUAUGCUGGGCUUGGCCUUGGUUGCAGAUGCGAUAGGCGAUCCGUAGGUGCGGAAGCAUAGAAGCGGGCGAGGGGCCACAGAUGCGGUCUCACAAGUGCAGAGCAUUGACCACAGGUGCCCUGGGUUGGUAAGUUAAUGAAAUCUCACACCAACGAUGGUGAGCCUGCAGGUGCGGCAUCGCAGGUGCGACUCUGAGGGCCGCGAAAGCGAAAUCACCGGGUUGUGAUUUAUACGGAAGGGUUUAGUUGAUUUUUCUCAUUUGUGGGAUUUUGAAGUUCGGACUAAGGCGAUUUUGGAGAAGGUUCCACCUAGAUUGAAGAGGUAAGUGACUUUUAAUCACUUUCGUCCACAAAUAUUGAAUACCCAUUGAUUAUUACACCUAUUUUGCAUGAAACUUAGUUAGAAUUUGGAGAUUUUUGGACUAUGUUAUUGGAGAGUGAAAUUUGAGGAUUUGGGGGCGAUUUUUGGUUGGAAUAGGAUGAUUUUGAUAUGGUUGGACUUGUAAUUGAAUGGAUUUUCGAAAUUUGUGAAUUUUGUUGGAUUCUGAGGUGCGGGCCCAGGGUUGACUCUUUGACUUGAGUUAAAGACCUUAGCUUUAUCUUUUGGAAUCACUUCCUAUGACUUUUAUUGAUAGUAUUACAUUAUUUUGACUAGAUUCAAGUCGUCCAAUGAUUGAUACGCGCGGGAAGGGCUCUUUAGCGGAGUGAUUUGGUUUGCAUGAUAUAGGGAUCUUAUCUAAACUUGGUUUAGGCACUAGUUGCCUGAAUUAUUCGUAAUAGCUACAUGCUAUAGGUGCGCACAUAUAUGAGGUUUGAACCCAUGUGCUAACACCGGGGUAUUUAUCCAUACUCAUGUUAUGCUUAGGCUAUGAUAUGCUUAGAAUUGACUGUUAAGUUUUAAGCUAUGAUAUUUCUCAUAUUCGUAACAUUGUAGUGAACUAUUUGAGCCAUAUUUGAGAUUACAUAGAGGCUAAAUCCCUGAAUGAACUUGAUAAUUGUUAUCUCCUUGAUGAAAUAGCCAGUUUGAGCUAUGAUAGCACAUUAUGCACAUGCCUACACUUUAGCAUGUCACUCAUACCAAUCCAGGAGCAUGAGAUAUGUUAUUCGUUCAUCCUAUACAUGCAUUAUUAUAUAUUUGCUUCUGUGUGAUACGAUUUGGACCGGAUGCUUGUGAGCGGAGUGAGUUGUUAUGCAUGUGACCACGCCAGGCGGAUUAUAUUGUUAUGCUUGUGACCAUGCCAAGCGGAUUAUGUUGUUAUGCAUGUGAUCACGCCGGGCAGAUUAUGUUGUUAUGCCUGUGAUCACGCCAGGAAGAUUGUACUGUUAUGUCUGUGACCACGCCGAGCGGAUUAUGAUAUUGAGCCUGUGACCACGCCGGGCCGGUGGCAUAUUGAAUUGGUCGUGCUUGCAUGUGGAUAUGUAUCCAUCCCCCGAGGGUCACCCUCUCAUGUUUCUAUCUUGAUGAUGUACACAUGGAUAUUAUGGAAAAAUGAUCAUUGGUUUGGUACGGAUAUUGAAAGGUUGAGGAAAUAGCCAGUCUUUGUUUGGAUUUUGCAUUUCAUCUUUACUUGCAAUUUCUGUGGUUAGCUGAUUGAUUUAACUGCAUAUCAUCUCUAUAUGAUGAACAUUGACUGGAUAUAAUAUUUUCUUAAUGUACACCUACACAUACAUAUGCUACUUCAUGUGCUUUAUGACUUGAUUUCAUUAUCUGUCAUGCCCCGAUCUCGGGGAGCACGACCGGCGCUCAACCGAGAUAUCCCAGUUAAGCAAGCAUUUACAAUACCUUCUACCCAACUCACUUAUGAAUAAAGAGAAGAAUACAUUUCAUUAAUAAGUCAACAAAAAGUCAUGUGAACAACACCAGUCCUUUUUCCAUUAGUUACGAGAUUAACAAGUCUCCAAAAUAGUAUCUUAUACAAUCAUAGUUAAAGUGGAACAGAUGAUGCGAUUAUAACAUUUUUAGUUUAACCUUCCAAAAAACAGAUACAACCCACACUAUGUCUAUGGAGCCUCUAACAGGAACAAAAGAGUGUUAUGACAAUGCCGGCAACAAAGCCCUACCUCAAAACGCUAUGUACAAAGGAUAAAAAGACAUAGGACCCUGAGAUGAAGUGGUGCUUACCAAAUCAGCAGAGGAGAGGGUAUGUUGCUAUCAUUGGUCAAUGCCACCUGCUAUGGAACCACUUGCAUCCAUUAAAGAUGUAGCACCCCCGAAAAAAGGGACGUUAGUACAUAUGAAAUAGUACUAGUAUGUAAAACAAAAUUCCCUCUCAAUAGAAUGAGCAACAGUAAACCGAGAAUAAAACAUGAAAUCAAUAAGAGACUCAAGCAGUAUCAAGGUGUCAAGUCAAUGGAAAGGUAAAUUUCAAAUAUGAUUCAGUAAUAUAAGUUGGGAGAUCUUUAGCACUGAUAUACCACUGUGUUUUAUUACGGAGUCUGAUCUCAGCCCGACCAGCUAAGCCAUCUCAUCCUGAGACAUACACUCAUAAUACCACCAUGUGUGCGGUAUGGUGUCCGAUCUCAGCCCGAUCGGCUAAGCCGUCUCACUACAAUGUCGUGUGGGUCGACAUUACAUCACAUAUAGCUAGUAAUAAUCUCAUCCCAUUUAAGGGAAAAAUAUCUCAACACACCAAUCCCAUCCCAUAUAAGGGGAAACAAUCUCAUCAUAUUAACACAGAGAUUUACCCCUCAAUCACUCCUACACCGGCACAUAUAGUUUCAGGGUUGGGUUGUUCAGACUUACCCUUCCUCGGUGGCUAACCGAUACUCCCAAAGCAUUUGUUAUUAAAAGUAUUACCACUCAAUUCAUAUUCUUUUACAUGUCAUUCAUUUUAUUGACAUCAUUGGCCAUAAUGCAAUACCAUUCUUGGAACAUUGGUCGUACUUCAUAAUUCAAUCUCACUAUUCCAUUUUCAAUCAUUAUCACGGAUAAUCAAUAACAAGGCCUUUCAGAUUAAGACUUUAAACACAUACUUGAGCAAAUUAGGGUCUUAGGCACAUAUGAUCUCUUAUACAAUUUGAUGUGAUCACUUCCAUUUGGACUUGACUUGAAGUCACAACAUUUUAAUACAUACUCAUACUUCAAAUACUCUCCCGAAGAAUAGCACAAUAUAAUAAGAAAAUUUCGGAACACCUUUGAACAUAUUCAUAUAUAUACAUCAUCCGACGCCAAACUUAUUCAGAAAAGUCAAUUCAUAAUGGACAACUCGGGACUUACAAGAUCAUCAUGCGAAUUCAAUUCUAAGAAAGGUGUUUAGCCAACAUACCUUGCCUCGAGCUUUUUAAUUUACUAUAAUAUUUCAGAGAUCCUAGACACUUCGAUCUAUUUAGAGAUAUAGCAAAAUUGAACACAAAUUAGGAAGGAGUUCAUAGUUCCAGCUCACUUAAGCAUUUUACCAAACACUAGGCGUGCAUUAAGGUUUUAAGAUCCUCCUAUCGUGGAUUCUUUCACCCCCACUACCCAAAGUUCACUCAAAAGAGCUCAACAAUCUCCCUACUACCCUAGAUGGUACAUGUAUGUAAAAUAAACAACUUCCACACCCAAGAAUUGCUUUACUAAUUACCCAUUUUUAGUUAAAUUCCGAAAUUAAGGGUUAGGGUGUAGAAUCUAACCUUUUGGUUGAAGACCUUGUGAGUUACCCUAGAGAAAUCUUCAAGGUUUGAACAAAGAUUGAUGAAAAAAUGACUUAGAAGUCCUCUUCUCACUCUAGACCACCUUCCUCUCUCUCUAAAAUGUAAGUUUGAACCUUCUAAAAUGACCCUUAACAUUGUUUUAUAAGAAUGGGGUCGGGUUUAUAAAAUCAGAAAAAUGAAGCUCUAAAACACAAUAUGUGGUCGCAUAGUGAUCACAAAAUGCAUAUGCGAUCCGCAAAUCGGCCGCACAAUUGGUGCCCCUGAACUGGGAUGUUCGGGCUGGGUCUGCGGCAGUUCUGCAGCCGCAGACCUAUUCUGGGGUCGCAUAAUGCACCGUAGAACUUCCCUCCGAAAAUUACCAUGCUGGUUUCACGGUCGAUGUGCGGCCCGCGAAAUAGUUUUGCGAUCGUAUAGUUGACCGCACAAUAUCAUCCAAACUUGGCCAGUUUUCUGCUUCACUCUGCGGCCCACAAAGUGAUUCUGCAGCCGCAUAGUGGGCCGUAGAAAUGUCUUUUUCUGCCAAAAAUUUUCCUUUACUCCCUAGCGCACUGUUCAACCCAAAAAGUCUGUACGUCAACACAUAAGCCUACUUCGGCACCACGAAAUCCUGGGUUUUUAGGCAAAAUUUUACGGGGCCUUACAUCCUCCCCCACUUAAGUUCAUUCGUCGUCGACUAAGGGCUAAAACCUUCCAUUAGAAACCAAUGUGACUUAGCUUCUAUAACACACACCAAUAAUUCCCAAAUUUCGACUUACUCCCCAAAUUUCCAAAAUUUUCGCUAGAGUUUCCCCUGUAACUGGGCCUAACCACCUGUCAGAGAAUCCCAGAAACCACUCCUAACAACAUAUACAUAAUCCGAUGAUGCAAUAUAACAUAAAAAAACACAAAUUGUGGCCUCAUAAGCAAUAUAUUACCAAAAAGGGAACACCCUUAACAUCAACGGUAUAAAUGAUACAUAAUUCAUAGAAGGUAACUCUUAGCAUUUUCAUAGAACACAACUUUCUAAAUAAAUGGCUAUUCAAAAAAAUAAGGAUACUUCUUCUUCAUUUCUUCCUCGGCCUUCCAGGUGGCCUCUUCAACUUGUUGGUUCCGCCAUAGUACUUUCACAGAGCCAAUCUCUUUGUUCCUCAACUUUCGUACUUGCCUAUCAAGGAUGGCAACUGGAAUUACUUCAUAAGUCAAUUCUUCAUUAACCUCAAUGGUCUCAACCGGAGUAAUAAUUGACGGAUCUCCAACCACCUUCUUCAACAUGGACACGUGGAACACCGGGUGCACCAAAGACAUCUCUGGACACGUGGAACACCAGGUGCACCAAAGACAUCUCUGGGCACGUGGAACAUCGGGUGCACCAAAGCCUACUUCGGCACCAUGAAAUCCCAGGUUCUUAGGCAAAAUUUUAUGGGGCCUUACAUUAUCGUUCUGUACUUGUUAAAAUGAUGAAACUGUACAGGUUAUAGCUAGUAUCAAUUAUAAUUCGUGCUUCUUUUACCUCGCUGAGGUUAGUUACGAUACUUAUUGAGUUCAUUAGGUCGGUUGUAGUCUACUACACUCUCCACUUAAUUGUGCAGAUCUAGAUGUGGGGACCAGUUAUGAGUAGUUGAUUUAUCUAUUGGACCCAACUUCGAGAGGCAAGGUAGAGCUGCAUCCUUGGUCGCAGUUUUGACUUGUCCUUUCUUGUGUACUGUUGUUUUAGUUCAAACAAUAGUGUUAUUUAGUUUUUCAGACUUGUACUCCGUUGUAGAGCGCAUCACUCCGUAUUUACCAGUUUCUUGGGGAUUUACCUUGUAUUGGUAGUACUUUAUUACAUUGAGGUUUCAGACUUAUGCAAUUUCUAUAAUUUAUGUUGUUAUGGUUCUUUACUGUUAUGUUUCACCUUGCCUAGCCAGUGUUUUAGGCGUCGUCUCGACGGGUUGGGAUUUUGGAUCUUGAUAAGUUGGUAUUAGAGCCCUAGGUUCAUAGUAUUACGAGUCAUGAGAAAGUUUAGUAAAGUCUUACGGAUCGGUGCGGAGACGUCUGUACUUAUCUUUGAGAGGCUACCGAACUAUUAGGAAACUUCACUUUCUUGUAUUCUUGUCAUGCGGAUAUGUUAUUUUUGAAAUUUGAACUUGAAUAUUUUAUUCUCUCACAGAUGGUGAGGACACGUGUGACCGGAUCAGGCGGACGGCCACCAGUACCACCAGCUAGGACCGCGAGAGGCCGGGGUCGUGGUAGAGGCUGAGGUAUGGCUUUUACUACAUCUAGAGCAGGUACCAGAUGUUGCUUCAGCUCAGGAGCAGGUACCAGAUGUGGUUGAGUCGGUGGGACCAACUCAGGCAUUAGGAGUGCCCAUUGUGAUUCCUGGCCUUCAGGAGGCCUUAGCCCAAAUUUUGACUGUGUGCAUGAUUCUGGCCUUUAGGAGGAAUUGUGUAGGCAGUUUGAGCAGAUACACUAAAAGGGUAUGAGAGUGACUUAGUAUGAGAUGAGGUUUUCAGAGUUGGCUCGUCACAUGGUAUUGUUGGUUUCCACUGAGAGGGAGAAGAUUAAGAGGUUCAUUAAUGGCCUCGACUAUGGUUUGCGCUUCAUUAUGGCUCGGGAGGUUACAAUGGGUGUGAGGUUUGACAGGGUGGUUGAUAUUGCUAGAUGCUUAGAGUUGGUUCGCAGGUAGGAGCGGGAGGCCAAGAGGCCUCAUAGUUUAGGUGGUUUCAGUAGUGCCUCAUCUGGAGGCCAAUCCUAUUAUAGUAGAGGCCAUUCUUCUAGACCAGUUUAGGCAACUCGCCAUGUUCCUUGUGGUUCUUCAGUUAGCCACAGUUCCUACAGUGCCUACCCAACUCACUCAUCAUUCAGUGCAUUACCGGCACAAAGUUUUUAUCGUGCCCCAUCUGUUCAGGUUUCCACAAGCAAUUCUUCGGGCUAUCAGGUUCAACAGCAUGUCAAGAGGGUUUGCUAUGAGUGCGGAGAGUUGAGAGUCAUCUCAAGAGAGAUUGCCCCAAACUACUGAGUAGGGUCCCAGAGAAGAGUUCUCAGCCUAUGAUCCCAGCACCAGAAGCUACACCACCCGCACAACCAUCUCAUAGUGGGGCCCAGUCAGCUCGAGGCCGCCUUAGAGAGGGCGAUCGAUCAGGUGGAAGUCAGGCCCGUUGCUACGCAUUUCUAGCCAGACUAGAGGCGGCUACCUCUGAUGUCGUGAUCACAAGUAUUGUUUCAGUAUGCCACAGGGAUGCUUUGGUAUUAUUUGAUCCUGGUUCCACUUAUUCAUAUGUGUCAUCAUACUUUGCUCGUUAUUUGGAUAUGCCCCAUGAUUCUUUAGUUAUGUAUGUUCAUGUAUCUACACCGAUGAGUGAUUAUAUUAUUGUGGAUGCGUACCGAUCAUAUGUAGUGACUAUUAUGCAAUAAGAGAUGAGAGUUGAUCUUUUACUGCUUAGCGUGGUUGAUUUUGACGUGAUUUAGGCAUGGAUUGGUUGUCACCAUGUCACACUAUUCUAGAUUAUCACACUAAGACUGUGACAUUGGUGAUGCCAGGAUUGCCUAGGGUUGAGUGGAAGGGUUCUCUGGACUAUGUUUCCAGUAGAGUAAUUUCAUAUUUGAAGGCCCAACAGAUGGUUGGGAAGGGAUGUCUAGCGGCCUUCAUGAGGGAUGUUGGUGCUGAUACUCCUACUAUUGAGUUCGUUCCGGUAGUGAGAGACUUUCCAGAUGUAUUUCCUGUAGACCUACCGGGCAUGCCACCCGACAGAGACAUUGAUUUUGGUAUUGAUCUAGUGCCAGACACUCAGCCCAUCUCUAUUCCACCGUAUCGUAUGGCACCAGCAGAGUUGAAAGAAUUGACAAACUACCUUCAGGAACUACUUGAUAAGGGAUUCAUCAGGCCUAAUGUGUUUCCUUUGGGUGCACCGGUUCUAUUUUUGAAGAAUAAGGAUGGUACUAUACGGAUGUGAAUUGAUUACAGGCAGUUGUACAAAGUUACAAUUAAGAACAAGUACCCACUACCACACAUUGAUGACUUAUUUGACCAACUUCAGGGUGUUAGAGUGUUCUCUAAGAUUGAUUUAAGGUCUGGGUAUCACCAGUUGAAGAUUUAAGAUUCUAAUAUUCUGAAGAUGGCAUUUAGGAACCGCUAUGGUCAUUACGAGUUUCUUGUGAUGUCUUUUGGGCUGAUCAAUGCCCCAACAGUCUUUAUGCACCUGAUGAAUAGUGUAUUCCAGUCAUAUCUUGAUUUAUUUGUUAUAGUAUUCAUUGAUGAUAUACUGGUGUACUCACGCAGCCAGGAGAAUCAUGAGUAGUAUUUGAGGAUUGUACUCCAGACGUUGAGGGAGAAGAAACUAUAUGCUAAAUUCUCCAAGUGUGAGUUUUGGAUUAAUUCUGGGGUGUUCUUAGGGCACGUGGUGUCCAAUGAGGGAAUCAAGGUAGAUCCGAAGAAGAUUAAGGCAGAGUAAAGUUGUCCCAGACCGUCUUCAGCUACUGAGAUUUGGAGUUUUCUUGGUUUGACCAGAUAUUAUCGCUGUUUCAUGGAGGGUUUCUCAUCCAUUGCUGCACCUUUGACCAGAUUGACCCAGAAGGGUGCCCCAUUCAGGUGGUCUGAUAAGUGUGAGGACAGCUUUCAGAAGCUCAAGUCUGCCUUGACCACAAUCUCAGUUUUAGUUUUGCCUUUAGCAUCGGUUUCAUAUACGAUUUAUUGUGACUCUUCUUGGAUUGGUAUUGGGUGUGUCUUGAUGCAGGAGGGUAGGGUAAUUGCUUGUGUUUCGUGCCAGUUGAAUACCUAUGAGAAGAUUUAUCGUGUUCAUGAUCUAGAGUUGGCAGAUAUUGUCCAUGCAUUAAAGAUUUGGAGGCAUUAUCUCUACGACGUGUCUUGUGAGCUAUUUACAUAUCAUCAGAGUCUACAUCACUUGUUUAAGUAGAAGGAUUCGAAUUUGAGGCAGUGAAGGUGGUUAAAGCAGUUAAAAGACUAUGAUAUCACCAUUUUGUAUCAUCCCGGGAAUGCUAAUAUGGUGGCCGAUGCCUUGAGUAGAAAGGCGGAGAGUAUGGGUAGCCUUGCAUAUAUUCCAGUUGGUGAGAGACCGCUAGCAUUGGAAGUUCAGGCCUUGGCCAAUCAGUUCAUGACGUUAGAUAUUUCGGAGCCUCGCCAAGUUCUUGCUUGUAUGGUUUCUUGGUCUUCUUUGUAUGAUCGCACUAGAGGGUGUCAGUAUGACGACCCCCAUUUGCUUGUCCAUAUGGAAAUGGUGCAGCAUGGUGAUGCCAAAUAGGUUUCUAUUAGAGAUGACGGGUGUUGCAGAUGCAAGGACAAAUUUGUGUGCCCAAUAUGGAUAGGUUACGUGAGUUGAUUCUUGAGGAGGCCCACAAUUUGCGGUAUUCCAUUCAUCCGGGUGUCGAGAAGAUGUAUCAGGACUUGAGGAACCACUAUUGGUGGAGGAGAAUGAAUAAAGAUAUAGUAGAUUAUGUGGCUUAUUUCUUGAACUAUCAGUAGGUGAAGUACGAGCAUCAGAGGCCGUGCGGUUUGCUUCAGAGACUUGAGAUUCCCAAGUGAAAAUGGGAGUGAGUUAUCAUGGAUUUCGUUGUUGGGAUCCCACACGGACUUUGAAGAAAUUUGAUGAAGUUUGGGUGAUUAUGGGCUGGUUGACUAAGUUCACAUAUUUUAUUCUUAUUGUGACUACCUAUUCUUCAGAGCGACUGGCUUAGAUCUAUAUCCGUGAGAUUGUUCGACUUCAUGGUGUGCCUGUGUCCAUUAUUUCUGAUCGAGGCACACAAUUCACAUCGCAAUUUUGGAGAGCAGUGUAGCGAGAGUUAGGCACACAGGUUGAGUUGAUUCAGCAUUCCACCCCCAGAAGGACAGACAGUCCAAACGCACCAUUUAGAUCUUCGAGGAUAUUCUACGUGCUUGUGUUAUGGAUUUCGGGGGUUCUUGCGAUUAGUUUCUACCGCUUGCAGAGUUUCCCUACAACAACAACUACCAAUUGAGUAUUCAGAUGGCUCCUUAUGAGGCCUUAUAUGGGAGGCAGUGUCAAUCUCUUGUUGGUUGGUUUGAACCGAGAAAGGCUAGGUUGUUGGGUACUGAUCUGGUUUGGGAUGCCUUAGAGAAAGUCAAGUUGAUUCAGGAUCGACUUCGUACAGCACAAUCCAGGUAGAAGAGUUAUGCGGAUAGGAAGGUUCAUGAUAUUGCAUAUAUGGUGGGUGAUAAGGUUUUGCUCAGAGUAUCGCCCAUGAAGGGUGUGAUGAGGUCUCGAAAGAAGGGCAAGUUGAGCCCUUGGUAUAUUGGUCCUUUUGAGGUGCUUGAGAGGAUUGGAGAGGCGGCCUACAAGCUUGCAUUGCCACCUAGUCUAUCGGGACUUCACCCAAUAUUUCAUGUUUCUAUGCUCCAGAAGUAUUAUGGUGAUCCGUCACAUGUUUUGAAUUUCAGCAUGGUUCAGUUAGACGGAGAUUUGACUUAUGAUGUGGAGCCGGUGGCCAUGUUGGAUCGGCAGGUUCAAAGGUUGAGAUCAAAGAAUAUAGCUUCAGUGAAGGAUUAAUGGAGAGGCCAUCUAGUCGAGAAGGCUACUUGGGAGACUGAGCGGGAUAUGCGGAGCAGUUAUCCAUACCUAUUUGAGACUUCAGGUAUGAUUCUAGACAUGUUCGAGGACGAACGAUUGUUUAGGAGGGGAGAAUGCAACUAUCCGGCCGGUCAUUUUGUGUAUCAUAGCUCGUUCCCCUGUUUAUUGCUUAUUCGAUGUUCACUUGUGGCUAUGUGACUUGCCGGGUGGUUGCUUUGGUUCUGAAGAUGAUUCGGAGUAAAUUGGGACAUUUAGUCCCAAGGUUGGAAGCUUAAGUUGAAAGAGUUGACCGGAUGUUGACUUUUGUGUAAACGACUCCAGAAUGGAGUUUUGAUGGUUCUGAUAGCUUCGUAUGGUGAUUUUGGACUUAGUUGUACGUCUGGAUUUGGAUUUGGAGGUCCGUAGGUUGAUUUGGUGCAUUUUAACAAAAAAUGGAAAGUUAAAGGUUUGGAAGGUUGAGAAGUUUGAUUGAGAGUUGACUUUGUGGGUAUCGGGUUCGGAUUUAGGUUCCGAAAGUUGGAAUAGGUCCAUCGUGUCAUUUAUGACUUGUGUGCAAAAAUAAGGUCAAUCAGAGUUUGUUUGAUAUGAUCGGCAUUAGUUUUAGAAGUUUGAAGUUCGUUUGUUCAUUAGGUUUGAAUCAAUGUACAAUUUGUGGUUUUGGUAUUGUUUGAUGUGAUUUAAGGCUUCAAUCGAGUUCGUAUGCUAGGCUUGGCCUUGGUCGCAGAUGCGGUAGCCGAUCUGUAGGUGCGGAUGCGCAAAAGCAGGCGAGGGGCUGCAGAAGCGGUCUCACAGGUGCAGAGCUUUGACCGCAGGUGCGCUGGGUCGAUAAGUUAAUGAUAUCUCGCACCAGCGAUGGUGAGUCCGCAGGUGCGACUCUGAGGGCCGUAGAAGCAAAAUUGGUACGGUGUAAUUUACACCGAAGAGUUUAGUUGAUUUUUCUCAUUUGUGGGAUUUUGACGUUCGUACUAGGGCAAUAUUUAGAGAGGGUUCCACCCAGAUUGAAGAGGUAAGUGACUUUUAAUCGCUUUUGUCCAUAAAUAUUGAAUACCCAUUGAUUAUUACACCAAUUGUGCACGAAACUUAGUUAGAAUUUGGGAAUUUUUGGACUAUGUUAUUGGAAAGUGAAAUUUGAGGAUUUGGGGGGCGACUUGUGGUUGAAAUUGGACGAUUUUGGUAUAGUUGAACUCGUAAUUGAAUGUGUAUUCGGAAUUUGAGAAUUUUGUCAGAUUCCGAGGUGCGGGCCCAGGGUUGACUCUUUGACUUGAGGUAAAGACCUUAGCUUUAUAUUUUGGAAUCACUUCCUAUGACUUUUAUUGAUAGUAUUACGUUAUUUUGGCUAGAUUCAAGUCAUCCAGUGAUUGAUACGCGCUGGAAGGGAUCUUUAGCGGAGUGAUUUUGUUUGCAUGAGAUAGGGAUCUUAUCUAAACUUGGUUGAGGCACUAGUUUCCUGAAUUAUUCGUGAUAGCUACGUGCUAUAGGUGCGCACAUAUAUGAGGUUUGAACCUAUGUGCUAACACCGGAGUAUUUAUCCAUGCUCAUGUUAUUCUUAGGCUAUGAUAUGCUUAGAAUUGACUGUUAAGUUUUAAGCUAUGAUAUUUCUCAUAUUUGUAACAUUGUUGUGAACUAUUUGAGCCAUGUUUGAGAUUACAUAGAGGCUAAAUCCCUGAAUGAACUUGAUAAUUGUUAUCUCCUUGAUGAAAUAGCCAGUUUGAGCUAUGAUAGCACACUAUGCAUAUGCCUACACUUUAGCAUGUCACUCAUAGUAGUCCAGGAGCAUGAGAUAUGUUAUUCGUUCAUCCUAUACAUGCAUUCUUAUAUAUUUGCUUCUGUGUGAUACGAUUUGGAAUGGAUGCUUGUGACCACCCCAGGCGGAGUGACUUGUUAUGCAUGUGACCACGCCAGGGGGAUUAUAUUGUUAUGCUUAUGACCAUGCCGGGCAAAUUAUGUUGUUAUGCAUGUGAUCACGUCGGGCAGAUUAUGGUGUUAUGCCUGUGACAACGCCAGGCAUAUUGUACUGUUAUGUCUGUGAUCACGCCGAGCGGAUUAUGAUAUUGAGCCUGUGACCACACCGGGCUGGUGGCAUAUUGAAUUGGUCGUGCUUGCGUGUGGAUAUGUAUUCCUCUCAUCUAGCCAGUGUUUGUUUGGAUUUUGCAUUUCAUCUUUACUUGCAAUUUCUGCGGUUAAUUACUUGAUUUAACUGCAUAUCAUCUCUAUAUGUUGCACAUUGACUGAAAAGAGUAUUUGCUUAAUUGUACACAUACACACACAAAAACUACUUCCUGUGCUCUAUGACUUGAUUUCAUUAUCGUUCUGUACUUUUUAAAAUGAUAAAAUUGUACAGGUUAUAGCUAUAAUCAUUUAUAAUUCGUGUUUCUUUUACCUCGCCGAGGUUAGUUACGAUAAUUAUUGAGUACAUUAGGUCAGUUGUACUCAUACUACACUUUGGAAUUAAUUGUGUAGAUCCAGGUGUGAGGACCAGUUAUCAACAAUAGAUUUAUCUGUUGGACCCAGCUUCGAGAGGCGAGGUAGAGCUGCAUCCUUGGCCGCAGUUUUGACUUGUCUUUUGUUAUGUAUUGUUGUUUCAAUUCAAACAAUAGUGUUUUUUAGUUUUUCAUACUUGUACUCCAUUGUAGAGCUCACGACACCAUAUUUACUAGUUUAUGGGGGAUUUACCUUGUAUUGGCAGUACUUUGUUACAUUGAGGUUUGAGACUUAUGUUAUUUCUAUAAUUUAUAUUGUUCUAGUUCUUUAUUGUUAUGUUUCGGCUUGCCUAGACAGUGUAUUAGGUAUCAUCACGACGAGUUGAGAUUUUGGGGUCGUGACAGGCAUUUAUGCCAGGCACACAUUAUGCUCUCUGUGUGUGUGUAUGAAUUGGUACUAAUUAUGUGGAAAGGUUGAAUCUGAGCAUGCGCAUAUAUCAUGCACCCACGUAGAAGCAUUUCCUUACAUGCUGUUUCUGUAUAUUAUUUAUCUUAGGUGAACUCGGACUAUAGAUUAUGCUUUGAUCAUUAAAUCUGAGAAGCAUGGUAUUUAUUUUCUUUGGAAUUGUUGUUGGACUGUUCUUUCUCUGUAUUUACACUUAUUGAUUAUUAUCUCAUUAUUGAAGUAAGUAUCAUCUUGGUUAGAGCCUCGUUACUACUUGUUCGACGUUAGACUUGAUACUUGUUGAGUAUAUUGGGUUGGUUGUACUUAUAAUACACUUCUACAUAUUUUGGUGCAGAUCCAAGUGUUUGUACUUAUGAAGCACAACAUGAUGCUUAGUUACUAAUUUUGUAGACACAAGGUAGUGCUGCUGGUUCGACCGCAAGCCCGUGAAGUCACCUUCUUCACAUCUAUUUACUAUUAUUUGAUUCAGAUAGUACUAUACUUAUUUCAGACCAUAUAUUUUGCUACUUUUAGAAGCGCACGUACUCAGUGACACCCAAUCCGGGAUUGUUUUAUUGUUUUGUACUUUUUUAUUUUGAUCGAGACUUAUCUAUGACAAUGAUCUUGUUUAGACUUAUAAUUUUCAUGCUAGUGAUUUCUUUAGAGAUUAUGAUUGUUGGUUCGCCUAGAAGGCAAGUUAAGUGUCAUCACAGCCAUUGGAGGGUUUUAGAUCAUGAUAGCAUGGUAUCAUAGUCUAAGUUGCAUUGGUCCAUGAGUCAUGAGCAUGUUUAAUUGAGUCUUGUUUAUCGGCAUAGAGACGUCUAUACUUAUCUUCAAGAGGUUGUGGGAUGUUUAGGAAACUUCACUCUCUUUCAUUCUCUAUCGUGCAACUCAUCCUGAAUUCUGAAUCUUAUUCCUCUAUUCUCUCAUAAAUAUCGGGAACACGUGAAUUAGCCGUAGCCAAGCAGGAGCUGGUACUCCAGGCCAGAGCCAUAAGAGGAAGGGCCUGAGCAGGGCUGGAGCUCAGGCCAGUGCUCAUACAGUAGAACCUGCCAGAUGUAGAAUAUCUGCAGCGGCUUGUGGACGUACCAAAGCAGCAUCUAUUGAGCCUCAAAUAUCUCCAGUUAGAGAGCAUGCCUAGUUUAGGAAGAGCAGUUAGGACCAACUCAUGUCCCAAAGGGUUUCAUCACUACUCCUGCGAUUCAAGAGACUUUGGUCUGCAUUGCGGGAUUUUUCGAGAAUAUGGCACAAGCCGGAGUAUUCCUAAGUGCACCAACUACUUCUCAGGCUGGCGGGAGGCUCAAACCCCUACUACCUACAAACUAUAGCAGCAACAUGCCCCAGUUUUCAGACUAUCAGAGUUACCCCACAUGUCACUGCCGCAUUACAGCCAGUAAGUCAGAAUAGUGUGACUGGAGAGAUGAGAGAAUUUAUUGAAGGACUCAACUAUGGCAUUAGUCUUGGUAUAGCCCAAAAAGGUAGGGAUAGAGUGCACUAUGGGAAGGCUAAGGAGAAAGCCUUGAGGGCAGAGCGCAUGCGACUCCGUAGUUAGAGAAAAGAGGAGCGGAAGAGCAUGAAAUCCCACAGGCAGUUCCAGCAGUCUUUCUCAGCUAUAGGUUAUUAUUAGUGUGGUGAUUUGAGGCAAAUGAGGAGAAAUUAUCCAAGACUUCUUAGUGGUGCAUCUCAGCAAGGUACUCAAACUAUAGUUCCAACCUAGUGACUACACCACUUGCACGGCCAGCUAGAGGUGGGGGUCUGGCAGGUAGAGGUCAUCCCACAAGUGGAGGUCAGGCAUGUGGCUAUGCUUUUUCUGGUAGGACAAAGAUGAUUGCAUCUGAUACAGUUAUAAAAGGUAUUAUUUCAAUCUGUCAUAGGGAUGCUUCAGUAUUAUUUGAUCUGGGUUCUACUUAUUCGUAUAUGUUAUCUUACUUUGUAUUAUGUUUGGGUAUGUCUCGUGAUUAUUUGGAUAUUCUUGUUCAUGUGUCUACACUUAUUGGACAUUCUAUAGUGGUGGAUCAUUUAUAUCGGUCUUUUGUGGUUACUAUAAAUGGGUACAAUACUAUGGUUGAUCUCUUGUUGCUACACAUAGUGGAUUUUGAGGUUAUUCUUGGCAUAAAUUGGUUAUCCCUGUAUCAUGUUAUCUUGGAUUGUAAUGCCAAGACUGUGACUUUAGCUAUGCCAGGGACACCUAGGUUAGAAUGGAGAGGGACAUUUGGUCAUGCUACAGGUAGAAUGAUUUCAUUUUUGAAGACUCAGCAUAUGGUUGAGAAGGAAUGUUUAGCAUAUUUGGCUUUUAUUCGGGAUUCUAAUGCAGAGGUUCCUUUUAUGGAUUUGGUACCGGUUAUGAUAGAGCUCCCGAAGGUGUUUCCUAUGCGUUUUCUGGGUAUGCCAUCAGAUAGUAAUAUUAAUUUUGGUAUUGACUUGGUGCCGGUUACUCAGCCUAUAACUAUUCCACCACAUCACAUGGCUCCAACAGUGUUGAAAGAGUUAAAGGACCACUUGUAAGAUUUGCUUGAUAAGAGAUUCACUAGACCGGGUAUUUCUCCUUGGGGUACACUAGUGUUAUUUGCGAAGAAGAAAUAUGGUACUAUGAGGAUGUGCAUUAAUUAUAGGCAGGUGAAUAAGGUUAUAUAAAGAACAAGUAUCCAUUGCCACGGAUUUGUCAUACUUCCCUUUUUCGGGGGAAAUAGGAGUUUUUUUUAAUUAAAGUGAUAUUAUUUGAAUAUGAAUUAAUUAAUAAUAUUUUAGGAGUCGUCACUUGGAAUAGAGUAUUUUUAAUAUUCCAAGUCACCAAUUUAUUAAAUCUUUAAUCAAGAAAAUUUUAUCUCCAAUUUAUGAUUUGCGAAUACAGAAGAUCGGGUCAGGAAUUUUGUUGAACAGGAAGAAGGUAUGAGUCACUCCCCGAAUCCCGUGGUUUUAGCACGUUCGCUAAAUUAACUUACACUUGGCUUAAAUUAAUUUAGAAUAUAUUGUAUUUAAUAGUUUUCACAUUUUAUCUAUAUUCAUUUUUAAUUGCUUGACUAUUGGAGAUAUGAAAAUUAUCUUGACCAAGUCACACAUACAUGUCCUUGUCUUAUUUGCGAGUUAAGAAUCAUGUUAUGCAUAUGUGUGCAUAAUCAAAGAAAACUUAUUAUUAUUUCGAAUUAAUUUAGUUAAUUGCCCUUUAAUUUAUGGAUCAUAACUAUGUUAUGCAAGCGUAUAUAUAGCCAUGGUGUUAAAAACGUACCUAAAGCAUGCUAGCGUGUGUAAUUAUUUUCCUAAUUUGAGAUCAAAAUUAAAGCAUAAAUUUAUGAAUAAAUUAAGAGUGCAAUUAUAUUAGAGAAGUCAACACACUCUUUGUUAUUUAUAACUUAAUAAGGUUACGACAUUCUAGAUCUUUGAAAUAAAUCUAAUUACAAACUAGUAGAGAAUUAUUGAAAGAGUUAAUAAAUUAUUGUAAGUUAAUUAAAUGUGACAUCUGAAAUGAUUUUGGCCUUAUUGGUACACUAGCAUUUGCAUUUUGGAUUUUAAAAAUGUGGGUAAAAUGAUUGAUUAAUUCUCAAUAAGUGAAUUUUAUAAUAGCAAUUAGUCAUCAUAUAAAAGAAAAGCAUGAAUAAGAAUAAACUUAAAUCACUUAGGCCUGGAGACUUGGCUUAUUCAUCGAAAAAAUGACAUUGAUCCACAAAGUCACUGGGCUCUCGAAGUCCCUAUUAGAAUCGAGGCAGACUGGCCUUGUAUCUUUAACCUGCAGACUUAGUCUUUAGGUCUGAAAUUUUGAGACAGACCCACUAAUAAAGAAAUCCCAAAUUGAAAACCUUGAACCCUGAAUCUCAACCUAAAACUAAGUUCAAACACCAAAUUAAACUGAACAACUAAUAAACACAGAAGUUAACAACAAACAUGCUUAAAACUAACUAUUAUAAAUGAUUACAUAUGUCGUUAAUUAUCAACUAAGUUAACAAAUAGUCAUGCUAUAAUUCGAAACCCUAGUUGACUAAACAUGCAAUUAACUAAACAACUAAAAUCAUACAUUAAUCAAGAAAAUCUUAAUUAGUGAAAUUGAGUUAAUCAUGCAAUUCAAAUGAGAAAGCAAAACGGAGCAGAAACUAAUUAAAGAAGAAGUGAAAAAGAAAGGAUCAAGGUUACCUCUUAAAAUCUUAUGCCAUCCGGAGAAGAAGAAUCCAAUUGGAAGUUGCCAUCAUCACAUUGAACUUUGCUUAGAUUCUACAUUCCAGUCUGGGUUAAUGUGAUGAUGGCUACUGAGAGUCGGAGUACCAAAAUAAAGGGGAGUUUUAGUGAUUUUGUCCAGCCAACAGUAAGUUGACCGGAGCCGACCGCCAUGAAAUGACCUAAAACCAGCAUCAAUCAAUAGAUCUCAACAAGACCUAGUGACUGGUGUGAGUUUCAAGUUCACACGGCGUUUGGUCAUGUCGAAUUCCAAAAAGGGACACGGAGGCAAGGAUUUUAUUUCUAUAGUUCGAUUUUGGGCAAUAUUGGAUUGGAAUUGGAGUUUGAUCUUAGCAGAUUGGGAUAGAGGAUAAGGAGAGGAGUAAUUUGGUGGAGAUUCGAGGUGGAUUGGCCAUCACCGGCCGGCGAAGAUGAUUUUCGAUCGGUGGUGGAGCAGUGGUGGACAGCAAAAAGAAUGUGUUGAAUUGCAGAGGCAAUCUCCAGCCACCACGGAGAGGAGAGAGAAAAUGAGGUCUGA